rnacentral:rRNA from 1 species
GACGAACGCUGGCGGCGUGCCUAACACAUGCAAGUCGAGCGAGGCAUUUAUGCCUAGCGGCGGACGGGUGAGUAACACGUGGGUAACCUGCCUCAGAGAGGGGAAUAGCCUUCCGAAAGGAAGAUUAAUACCGCAUAAUAUAUACUUUUAGCAUUAUGAGUAUAUCAAAGGAGAAAUCCGCUUUGAGAUGGGCCCGCGGCGCAUUAGCUAGUUGGAGAGGUAACGGCUCACCAAGGCGACGAUGCGUAGCCGACCUGAGAGGGUGAUCGGCCACAUUGGAACUGAGACACGGUCCAGACUCCUACGGUGGCUG